GACAGCCAGGAUGUUGGCUUAGAAGCAGCCAUCAUUUAAAGAAAGCGUAAUAGCUCACUGGUCGAGUCGGCCUGCGCGGAAGAUGUAACGGGGCUAAACCAUGCACCGAAGCUGCGGCAGCGACGCUGAUGCGUUGUUGGGUAGGGGAGCGUUCUGUAAGCCUGCGAAGGUGUGCUGUGAGGCAUGCUGGAGGUAUCAGAAGUGCGAAUGCUGACAUAAGUAACGAUAAAGCGGGUGAAAAGCCCGCUCGCCGGAAGACCAAGGGUUCCUGUCCAACGUUAAUCGGGGCAGGGUGAGUCGACCCCUAAGG
rnacentral:rRNA from 1 species